GAAUUUUAUAUAAAUUUGAUAAGAAGUUUAGAAUAAAGUUUAUUAAAUUUAUAUUUUAUUGGGAGGAUAGUUAAAUUAUAAAAACUUUAAGAAAUAAAAAUCCAUUAAUUUAUGAAUUAAAAAUAUAGAAUGGCAUAAAGAAGGUUAAAAUAGAAUUAAUUACCUUAGGGAUAACAGCGUUAUAUUUUUAGAGAGAUCUUAUUAAUAAAAAUGUUUGC
rnacentral:rRNA from 1 species